AUAAUCAUCACUCACUUUAUACAACUGUAACUCCCUGGAGCCUCUUUCAUGUUUUUUUCCUUCUUUGGAAAACCCCCAAUCCUAGUUAUUUGCAGCCCUUUUCUUACUCUGUACCUGUUUUCUGGUUGCUGAACUUGGCUGGAGGAAAGUAGCCAAUCUACUGCUUGGUAUCACUUUAAACUCAUGAGCCCCCAAAUUUAAGUGGGCCCAGCAAUGUUUCUCUUACUUGGCUUCUUAAUUUUGGAGGACCCUGAGAAUUCUAUCCUUA
rnacentral:lncRNA from 1 species